CUACGGGUGGCUCCAGUGAGGAAUAUUGCACAAUGGGGGAAACCCUGAUGCAGCAACGCCGCGUGGAGGAUGACGCAUUUCGGUGUGUAAACUCCUUUUAUGAGUCAAGAAAAUGACGGUAGCUCAUGAAUAAGCACCGGCUAACUCCGUGCCAGCAGCCGCGGUAAUACGGAGGGUGCAAGCGUUACUCGGAAUCACUGGGCGUAAAGGACGCGUAGGCGGGAUGUCAAGUCAGGUGUGAAAUCCUAUGGCUCAACCAUAGAACUGCACUUGAAACUGGCAACCUAGAGUAUGGGAGGGGGAGAUGGAAUUAGCGGUGUAGGGGUAAAAUCCGUAGAUAUCACUAGGAAUACCGAAAGCGAAGGCGAUCUCCUGGAACAUUACUGACGCUAAGGCGUGAAAGCGUGGGGAACAAACAGGAUUAGAUACCCUAGUAGUC
rnacentral:rRNA from 1 species